CGCACCCGCAGCGCCGCCCAGCGGGAGUUGUAGUUUCGGGUUCGUCCCCAUCAACGCGACGGCGGGGGCGGUGGACUACGCCUCCCAGGAAGCCUCGCGCGGGCGAGCCCCGAACCCGAGGACGCGGCGAGCGCAGCGCCCGGCCCUCUCCGGCAAGGACUGUCAAUGGAGGCGCGGGUGGUGGGAGCAAGAACAUGGCUGCACCUGGGGCCUGCGCGGCCGCCCGGGUGGGGGAGGGGAGCCGGGGCGCGGGGCGCCUCUCUAGGCCGGGGCAGGCAGCCCCCGCUUGCUCAGUGCGGCGCCGCAGUCGGCCUCAGCCACCGUCCAGGGCUCGCACUCACUCUUGCACCCGAGAUUCCCUGCCGAUGGCGAAGCCGGAACGCGGCGAGGGCCGGGGCGCCCCAGGGCGGCCUGCCCUUCUCGGUGCUCCGCCAAGGGACCUCCUCCGCCCUGCACCACCCUCCGGGACACAAAGAACUCCUCUGUUAGUUUUGAAAGCUUGCCCCCAAAGCGGCCGGAGGAGACUGUUGCCCCAACUUGGGACGGGGCGACGGGAGGGGACGCUUUUAUUGCCCCGCACCCCCCCGCCCCCGCCCCAGGCUCUCCUCCCGCGCCCUCGCUGGACAUGGAGAAGCAAAGUUGAGGGGAAGCCACGGAGCGAGCGCGGAAAACCUGCCUGCAGCCCGCUCGUUUUGUUCGGUCAACCGCGCCGAGAUGUGACCGAACAUCCCGCCCCCCCCCGCCCCCCAAUUAUUCUUUCAACUUGAUGAGCAUUCGAGAAUGUCGAGAGGGACGAGACCUGGCUCUUCCCCUAAGUGAAACUCAGAAGUUUACAAAACUCGAGCCCGGAGGUCGUUAGGGGGUUUUGCAAAAGCACAAGACCGAACGAUGUCGCGAUUCCUGUCCCCAGUGGGGACGGCGUGGGGGGGGGGGGGGCACGCCGGCCGUCCCCCCACCCCCACCCCCUCCUCCUCGGUAGGUGGCGACCACGACGCUUUUUCCAGCCUUUGUCGCUGGAAAGAAAACUUUCCGAGCAGCCAGUCUUUUGAUGUAGGUCCAAGACCUUCCCUCGGAGUCCUCGUUCACGGAGCGGCGUGCCCCAUCUUUCUUGCAUGGACCGCACCCAGACAGCCGCCUCUAGAAUUUCCAGGCGGGUUUUGGUUUUUGUUUUUUAAUUAGAUAGAGACUUUAAAGAUCCCUGCGGGAGCAGUCUGAUGGCAGACGGUCCCCACAUGUUCACGAUUUCCCCUACAACCUUUUUCCAGGCGUUUUGUCCCCGCCUCAUGCGAUCGUUGACUGCCCUUUGUCGAGUCUCCCUCCGAAGCGUUCACUUCGUUUUCCCAAGAACAGUUUUCUUUUCGCACUCGCAUUUCAUUAACAUCUUGGAAUAUUUAAUUAAAGUGCAUAUUCCCAGGAGCACGUACAAUCGACUGAUGUUUAAGGAACAAAGGUAACUUUGGGGAAGUCUGCUGUGGAGCUGAUAGGAGCAGCCGGCCUUGCUGGGGCCAACACUCAGCUGCUGUGGGCAUCGGUGAGUGUGUUUGCCCUGGAAGGUUGAGGACAGCGAAGGAAGGACUCACUGGGUGUCCUGGUGUCAUGGAGUCGCAUCUGGAGAGUGUCAGAAAGUGAGCAGGAGAGGCAGACGUUCAUUUAGUCCAGAUUACACUUGUCAUCAUUAAAAGCGUGUUUGCCCCCGGCGUCUAGGAGUAUAAGGCUCCGGUGUGGAAUUUUGCUGCUGCUAAAUGAAAAACGCCCAAGUUCUUUGGGGUUGAAGCAAUUCCUAAAACCAUUAAAUCCUAAAGCAGUUCCUCAAGCUUCAGCUGGCUUUGAAUUGGCCCUUUCGAGACAAUGACGGGUGUAUGCAAUGGUGUGUGGUUCCCACUCAUUUUUUCUGCCCACUGCUGUUGGGGACUGUAACCCCCACAUUUAUGUCUUAUAGUCACAAAUACGCUUUUACAGUCUUCCUUAAGGCCUGCCUCACCGCCUUGUCAGUUACUGGUGGUAACUUACUGUUCUUGGCUAACUGGUGCCUCACCUCACUGAUAGGUGCUGUGUUAAUUGUGACUGUAGGGAUGAGCCACUUUGAAUACCGUCUCAGCAGGGCAGAGUUGUUUUUCCAGCGUAGGCUCAAACGGCUGUUUGGGGGGUUGGGCAACAAAUGAUUUGUGUUUAGGGUGGGAUCCUUUGUUAAAUCGCACACAGCUUGCUGUGGUCAGAAUCCUGUUCAUAACAAGAGACCGAUUUGCAGCUCUUGGAUCCUGCUGACUUAAGACCCAAGUGCACGGAGGCCAACAGGGGGACUGUUCGUGACAUCAAGGACCUCCACAGUGUGGUGCAGCCCUCACAGUGAGCGGAUUCCAGGACUUUGGCAGGACCCAAACACUAAUUCUACCAUUAGGCGGUCACGGAUCUCCACUUUCCCUGUUGAAUUAGUGUGUAAAGACGCUCGUGAAAAUGCUGCUCUAAGACCAGAAGGCAAGUAUGUCCACUGAUCUCAGUGAGAUCCCACGGAAUCUGCGAGAUCCCACGGAAUCUGAGAGGUCGAACUUGAAGCAGCUGCUUCCCAGAUCCACUUAAGCGAAAUCUUGGGUUUCUUGGCCGGCAGCGGCCUUCUCAAGGAAACCACGUGACGGCUCCGGGUAAGGCAGAAUCCCUUCAAGGGCAUUCAGAGGGUUUACGAAGUGGCAGCUUCAAGUUCACACCCCACCCACGGGGACUGGGGCCAUUGCCUCGGGCUGGAGGGAGGGCUCCGGAGUGACCCUGCUGUGUAACUCGGGAGGACAGCCAGCCAAAAAGGGAUUGACAAGAGGAUGAGGACUUUGAUUUUUAUUCCGCCGUCUUUCUGGGAUGGGAAACAGGCAAAGGGGGAAAAAAAUUAAAAAGCCAGCAGGGAAACAUAUUUGGAUGGCUUGGUAAAAUAUUUGGCUAACUCCCACUAAUUUGGACAUUCUCCCCUCUGCACUCUCGGAUCCUGUGACUAGGUAUUGUUCUUCUUCUUUCUAAGGUUGAAAAACACCGGCUCAGAGGUCAGGUGAGGGCCCAGCUGCUAAAAGGCAGAGCCCGGGCUCAGCCUGGCCUUAUCCAUCGGCCCCUUUGUUCUGGGACAGAAACAGUUCUCUUCUGUGACGACCCACCCUUUCUAGUUUUUGUUCUCCGGUGCACUUGAGCUAACUGGGCUCCUCUCUUACUCUUGUCCCCUACUCUCAGCAUAAAUUGGGAUCGGUGUGGAUUUCUGAGAAAAUAGAAAUUAACAGGGCAGCCAGCUCGAGAGCAGAGAAAGUAAGGGACACACUCGGGGCGGGGCGGGGGGGGGGCACGAAAAACUGCCAGAUGCCAGAAUCACUUACCUCUCGCUUCCCAUCGCUUGGCAAGGCUGACCUUGAACACGGCUUUCUGGUCACUGUGGUGGGAAUCACAUUUUGCAUCAUUCAUUAAGACUGCUGGCUCGGAAAUGACCUUGAGAGGUAGAAGGAAGCCUCUGUCCGCCUCCCGCGUGAGCUGGUAGAGAAUAGGAUGGAGAAAAUUCCAGAAAAGAGCGACACUUGAAACCAGUUUUGCUCUGUAAAUCGGGGAAUUAUUAAAUCAUGGCUUUUAGUCUAAGGUAGGCAAAGUUCACGUGCAUGAAAGAGAUAUCACUUUAAUGGCCAAAAAAACCCCAAAAACAAAAACAAACCCACCAACACCAAAAAACUUGAAUUUUCAGCUGAGAUCAUUUUCCACGACUCCUUGAAGAGCUACUGCCACCCCAUGGAAAAUUUUUAUAAACUCCCAGUUGAGGCAGGAAUCCAUGUUUGUUGUCUUAGGGGACCUUCUGCUUACGGAACGCGGUGUGGUUUGCUCUCACACCAAAAAGCCCCUGGCAGUCUUUGGCCUGCAAACUGCAAUUUUUGCACCGUUCUGGGUGCAUUUCAAAGUGGUUAGAAUAUCAUAGACACAUGUGAUUAGAAAUCAGUAAAUAAUACUUUUCUUAAAAAUAUUUUAGGGAUUCUUGAUCUGCGGUG